UACAGAGGAGCCAAGCGUUGUCCGGAUUGACUGGGCGUAAAGCGCACGCAGGCGGUUGCGCGCGUGGGGUGUGAAAUCUGGCCGCUUAACGGCCAGGCGCCAUCCCAUACGGCGCGACUGGAGUGAUGCAGAGGUCGAUGGAAUUGCCGGUGUAGUGGUGAAAUGCGUAGAGAUCGGGCAGGAACACCCAGGGGGGAAACCAGUCGACUGGGCAUCUACUGACGCUGAGGUGCGAGAGCGUGGGGGAGCGA
rnacentral:rRNA from 1 species